AAGUUAGUCUAAUUAAAAAUCAAACAUAAUUUAAUCUUGUUCACUGAAAAGAAAAAAAAGAAUACGCUUCCUUGAGACAGACAGGUGAAUACUGAAGUUAUUUUCUCAUUAAAAAUAAAAAAAUCUAACCUUGUUGACUGCCAAAAAAUAAUAAUCAGAUAGAACUUCGAACUUUGAAGUGAAACACAUAUGGAGAUUGAACUUUGAAGUUAAUUGCCUAAUUAAGAAUCAAAAGGAAGCAGACAGAUUUUUCUCUAAAGAAGGGGCAUACCUGAAUCAAAUCAACGCUUAUGCAGAGAAUAAGCAACCAAUUUUCCCACAAAACGCAGAGAAUUAUCAGAGAGAAGAAUGUCAACCAUGUUCAUUCCAUGUAAAUGAUGGAGUCUUGUAUUUUGAACCUUAAAGCUGUGCUGUAAUCACAAGAAUUGUAAAAAAAAAGAAAAAAAAUAUAGCUGCAAUCCUAAGGAUAAUUUAUACCCCUAAUCCUCCCCUCGAACCACUCUAAAUAAAAUCUCUAAACUCUCUCCAUUUACAAAAGUAACAAAACUGUAACUUUUUUGAAAGUUCCUUCAAUUUAACUCUCA
rnacentral:lncRNA from 1 species